rnacentral:rRNA from 1 species
AGAGUUUGAUCCUGGCUCAGAUUGAACGCUGGCGGCAUGCCUUACACAUGCAAGUCGAACGGUAACAGGUCUUCGGAUGCUGACGAGUGGCGAACGGGUGAGUAAUACAUCGGAACGUGCCCGAUCGUGGGGGAUAACGAGGCGAAAGCUUUGCUAAUACCGCAUACGAUCUACGGAUGAAAGCGGGGGAUCUUCGGACCUCGCGCGGACGGAGCGGCCGAUGGCAGAUUAGGUAGUUGGUGGGAUAAAAGCUUACCAAGCCGACGAUCUGUAGCUGGUCUGAGAGGAUGAUCAGCCACACUGGGACUGAGACACGGCCCAGACUCCUACGGGAGGCAGCAGUGGGGAAUUUUGGACAAUGGGCGAAAGCCUGAUCCAGCCAUGCCGCGUGCAGGAUGAAGGCCUUCGGGUUGUAAACUGCUUUUGUACGGAACGAAAAGCCUCUUUCUAAUAAAGAGGGGUCAUGACGGUACCGUAAGAAUAAGCACCGGCUAACUACGUGCCAGCAGCCGCGGUAAUACGUAGGGUGCAAGCGUUAAUCGGAAUUACUGGGCGUAAAGCGUGCGCAGGCGGUUUUGUAAGACAGAGGUGAAAUCCCCGGGCUCAACCUGGGAACUGCCUUUGUGACUGCAAGGCUGGAGUGCGGCAGAGGGGGAUGGAAUUCCGCGUGUAGCA